UGACGUCGAUCCGUCAGCCGGCAGAGCGGCGACGGCAUCGCUUCUCCUGGAUCAACGAGUGGAAAGAGACGGCCGAUGCAAAUGGCCGCCCAUUUGGGAUCGAGCUGAUCCUGCCGGAUUGGUUCUACGCUGGCGUCAUCGAUGACGCGCUCGUGCUGACGAUUGAUCGCGCCUAUUUCGAGCUGACGGGCGGACUUGAGAGGUGGCUUUAUCGUCUUGUGCGCAAGCACGGCGGACGCCAGGACGGCGGCUGGAGUUUUGAUCUGG
rnacentral:misc_RNA from 1 species